UUCCGGGCUAUAAUGGUAGUUAAGGGGCACAGAUACAUUGAAAUCUGCCCCCCUUGCCAGACUGGCAUCUCCACUGGCCUUAGUCAUCCCUACUUGUCCAACUUAUUCUUGUACAAUAGUGCCUUCUGUCUGGAAGGCCCUGCCCACCCCUAACAAGUCGCAGUCUAUACUUUCUGCAAGGGUCAGUUAAAAUCCUUCCUCUCCUAAUGUUAGACCUCAGUGAUCCCUCCUUCCCCACAGUCUACAGCACAGUCCACAACACAGACCAACGCUUGUUUUACUCUGCUAGGAUGCUCAAUUUUUCUCAGUAUUCCUUCCAGAAGCUUCUCAAAAGCAAGGGGGGUGUAGUUUCUUCAGUUACCUCAUUAUUUCCCUACAGCCCUGCAUGAGGCUGGUACGCAGCAACAUUUAAAUGAUACUUGCUGAGGUCCUGCUGACCCACAACUGACCCAUCAGAAGUCAGUCAGACAGGGUUGGGUUGGAAGGUGGCCCCAAGGACAGUGUCUUAGGCUGGAGGGAGAUGCCUGACACUGAAGGAGGCUGGUCCUCCCAGUUGUCCUCUGCCAACAUCCAGGAAUGAGGGCUCUACAUGAGGGGCUGUCUGUGGAUAUAGCUGGUUCACCCAGUCUGCAUCUGAGCCCUAGAAGUCAAGUACCACAUCUUAUACUUUUCCUGUGUACCCUCUAGAUGUACCCAGUACUGUGGUGAGAACAUGGUGUUUCCAAAAAUAUUUGUUCAAUCAAAGCACUAAUUCAGUUUGGGAGGGGACUACUUUGGUGUUCCAAUUUUUUGUUUCUGUUCAAUAAGCUAAAUAUGGUUCUGGUUCAAAUUGUUUUAUCAUGGUUCUUCCAUGCUAGAAUUUAAGCUCCAAGAGGGCAGAGAUUAUUCAUCUCUUUUUCAGUCCUGUUCCUGUCACCUAGCACAGUACCUGGGACAUAGUAAGUUUUUAAUAAGUAUCUACUGAAUGAAGCGUAUCCUCAAGGCUCCAUUUUGUGUGGGUGGUUCUCCUUUUCCAUGCUCUGCCUGCUCCCCUUAUCUAUUUCCGGAGACACCUACCUUUAUAGCUGGCCUCCUCUUGGAUGUCUUGUAGGCAUAUGUCCAAAAUGGAAAUCUGUACCUUCCUCCAAAACUAUCUGUCUUUAUGUGCUAGCCCCUAUCCAGUCAAUGACAUCACUUACCUAGCAACUUGUAACAGAACUAAGUCUACUUUGUAUUUGUUUUUCUCUUCCUUGCGCCUAAUUCUCUCCCAUCUAUGAUGUAGAUUAGAUUAGCCAGGCAUAAAAGGCUCUUUAAGAUGUAGCCCUGCCUCACCGCUCACCAUCUCAUGUACCCCUGGACUCUAAGCAGAGUGAACUGCUCCCCACAGGUCAGGCUCUUUCACCUGGCUAUGCCUCUGCAUACACAGUUCACUAUAACUAGAAUUUUCUCGUUUGUUUACAGGAUGUCUAUUCAUCUUUGAGGUCCAGCUCCACUGUCUCUCUUCCCGGGAUACAUCCAGUGUUGUGGCAGCUUCCUCCUCUUGCUCCCUAGCAUUUUGUCCAGGUUUCAUCACAACACCUAGAACAAUAAAUUCUAUCACUGCCUGUCUCCUGCCUCAUGAUAGGAACUUCUUAAGGGAGUGAGUAGAUGUAUGAAAAUGGAACAUCUCUACCUGAAAACAGGAACAGGAACCAGGAAGG